rnacentral:rRNA from 1 species
UACGGAGGGGGCUAGCGUUGUUCGGAAUUACUGGGCGUAAAGCGCACGUAGGCGGCUUGUCGCGUCGGAUGUGAAAGCCCGGGGCUUAACUCCGGGUCUGCAUUCGAUACGGGCAGGCUAGAGUUCGGUAGGGGAGAUCGGAAUCCUGGUGUAGCGGUGAAAUGCGCAGAUAUCAGGAGGAACACCGGUGGCGAAGGCGGAUCUCUGGGCCGAUACUGACGCUGAGGAGCGAAAGCGUGGGGAGCGAACAGG